AUGCCUGAGGGGAUUAAUAACACAAUUAUUGUUCUCAUCCCGAAAAUUAAGAACCCUCAGUCUAUUAAAGAUUUCAGGCUGAUCAGUUUGUGCAAUGUUAUCUACAAGAUUAUUUUCAAAUACCUUGUUAAUAGACUUAGGCCGCUCCUUAAUGGUAUGAUUUCCCCUACUCAGAGUGCGUUUAUUCCGGGAAGGUUAAUUUCUGACAAUGCUCUCAUAGCCUUUGAAUGUAUGCAUUCGUUGAGUACGCUUAAAGAUUUAAGAGGGGAAUUAUGUGCGUAUAAGUUGGAUUUGGCGAAAGCUUAUGAUCGCGUAGACUGGCAUUUCUUGCAAAGUAUGAUGGGGGCUUUGGGUUUUGCGCCGAGGUGGAUAAAUUGGAUUAUGUUGUGUGUUACAUCGGUGAAAUUUGUCGUCCGCUUCAAUGGACAGUUGUUGGAGUCUUUUUCACCUUGUAGGGGACUCAGGCAGGGGAGCCCUUUAUCUGCGUACUUGUUCCUUUUUGUUGCUGAGGCACUUUCUUUGCUGCUUAAUGAUGCUUCAGCCAGAGGAUCUUUUCAGGAGUUUCAUUUGACUAGACAAGCUCCAGGUAUUUCUCACUUGCUGUUUGCGGAUGACAGUAUUUUAUUUUUCAAAGGCUCCACUGAUCAAGCAAUUGUCAUUAAAAAUAUUCUGAUGAAGUACGAGAAAGGGACUGGGCAGUUGUUAAGUCCUGAUAAGUGUUCCAUGAUGUUUGGGAAAAAGUGCAGUUUAGAGAAUCAAGUGGCUAUUAUGGUAAUCUUAAAAAUUGCGGUCGAUGGGUUCGAAGAUAAAUAUCUUGGUCUUCCGGUUCCUGACGGAAGAAUGAAAGCUGGUAAGUUUCAAUCUACUAAAGAUAAGGUUUUGAAAAGGCUCUCUGACUGGAUAGAGAAAUACGCUUCGUGUGGGGUGAAAGAAGACUUAAUAAAAUCAGUUAUUCAAGCUCUACCCGUGUAUGCUAUGGGUAUUUUUAAGUUCCCGGCUUCCCUUUGUGAGAAGUUAACACAGAUUAUCAGGAAUUUUUGGUGGGGAGAUGAGGAAGAUCGAAGAAAAACACAUUGGUUAGCUUGGGACAAAUUAACAAGGUCUAAAGGUAAGGGAGGUAUGGGAUUCCGGGAUCUCAGAUUAUUUAACCAAGCCCUCUUAGCCAAACAAGCGUGGAGGUUAUUGGUUCAUCCAGAUUCGUUGUCUGCUAAGCUGAUGAAGGCAAAGUAUUACCCUCAUGGACUUAUUCUUGAUACAGUGUUUCCUCGGUCUGCAUCAGUGACUUGGCAAGGUAUUAUGCAUGGUCUUGAAUUGCUUAAGAAUGGUGUCAUUUGGCGGUGGGUGAUGGAUCUAGCAUUAAUAUUUGGAGGGAUAAUUGGUUACCCAGGAGCACUAGACUUAAAAUUUCAGCUAAAAGGCAUAAUACUAGAUUGA
rnacentral:rRNA from 1 species